GAUGGUGUGUCAAAACCGGUCUGCCAAACGAGGCCGAACAAGUGAUUUCGUCUACAAAUCCCAAUUGCCAAGGCCUAAGGGCCCAGGCCCACUUUGUGGUGAGCAUAAAACCACCGAAAAGACGGCACGCACUCUGUUCUAGGGUUUCCACCGCCGCCGCUACCGCCACCAUCCUGAGAUGCCGACCGAGCUGAAGCGCACCGUGGAGGAUGGUGAUGAUUCCACUUCCACCCGUCUUCGCCAGAAAAUCGUAGUUCCAGAAAAGCCGGUCUAUCUGGUGGUGGCGCACAAGGCGGAGCCAGCGUACUCCAUCCUCAGUGUUGGCACAAUGGCGCCUAAGAUCCCACUGCACCUUAGCCAACGCGGCAUGUCGUUCACUGCCAUGGAGUCGCCGCAGGGGUCCUGGAUCGUUGUCGUGGGCGGGGACGAGCAGAUUCACACCACCAUCUUCGAUGUCACGGCCUCCAAGGAGUGGCAGGGCCCGUGGCUCCAUACCAAUAAGAUGGAGCCCAUCCUGUUUCCACACCGCGACCAGCUCUACGUGCUCUCGAGCCACCCCUCCGUGAAGAGGGGGGCGAUGGGGCUCGACUACCUUCCCUGGUUUGAGCAGAUUAAGACUUCGAGGACGGCCGCCCUAACCAAGCCGAGGUUUGCCUAGAACUCGAGCCGCCGCCCAUCUUUCCGUGCCGCAUCACGCCGCCUGAGUACAUGAUCCCACCGGCUAUACGCGUUGCCUCCUACGCCAUGGUUGGCUCCCAUAUUUUGCUCUCCGUGCAACUGGACAAUGUGGCCAGCCCCGACAAGGCUGCCAGGAAAUACAGGAAAUACAUGGGAACCUGUGGGUACGACGUGGAGAAGAAGGUGUGGGAGAUGGUGCAUGAGAUGAAUCUUCCUUUCCUUGGCCAGGCGGUGCCCCACGGGGACCAACUCUUUCUUGCCCGCUCCAAAGAGAGGGACGGCGCUUAUGUAGUGUACUACAUGCAUGUCGGUCAGUCAACAUCUGGGACCAGCGAGCUGUCCAUUAUUGAGGUUCCGCUGGUGAUGCCAAAGGCCUGACCUGUUCUGGGGGAACUUCUCUUCCCUUUGGGAAGGGGCCGGUUCUCUUCUGUUCACUUUCGAUCUGUCGAUGCUGAACCGGAGUCCAAGUUGGGAAAACCAAGUGAUGUACAUGGCACCUACUCUAUUGUGAAAGAAAAUUUCGAUGAUGCUAUAAUAAUGAAGCAGCAGCGGCAAGUUUACAAAGUAGCUGAUCGGUCGUGUCCAUUGGCUCAUCCUUUCCCUGUGGUUGCUGCUUUCGCAAUGGGCGAUGCAUAGGACCUUGUCGGCAUUGAUGCACCUACAGCCUGAUGUGGCAAUACCGGCAAUCACUUCAACAAUAUAGGUAACUGCUGCAUGGUAACCUAGAAGAGUUGUCGGGAUAGCAGAGGCACUAGACAUCUUACUAAGGGGUGGGGAAUUUGGCAACAGGACAUUGACGCAUGAUUGCUUCUCCGGGGUAUUUACACGCUCAUCAAUGGGCAAGAUUUCAUUAUGGAUGGCCGUGAAACCCUCCUGCAGUUGCUUGGUUAUAUAGCUUCUUGCAGUUCUGACUUCGCUUCCUGGUUCUGAUACCAGAUGUUGUAGCCUAGAUUGACUUUGGAGAGAUUGUAGGGGUAGUUCAUCGGAGGUUGUAUCCUCUGGCGAUUGGUAGGUGUCGUGAUUGGCACAAGUCUUGGCAGCAAAGUUGAGGAUUCAGGGAAUUAGAAGUGAGGAAAGCGCUGAGAUAGAGAGCUUUCUUAUUUCCUGCCUCUGAUUACAUAGGGACAUCUAUAUACA